rnacentral:tmRNA from 1 species
GGGGGCGAUUUGGUUUCGACGAUGAUUAAGCAUUUAAAAGUAGCAUGUCGAGAGCUAACUCGUUAAUCUGGCAAAAGCACUAUAAGUGCCGAACCAAUAAAUCAACUUGCUGCCUAGAUAGUGUAGCAACAUCUUUUGUGCCUUUCUCAUAGGGUAUUAAAAGAUGACAUUAAUAUGAGACUAAAACAGAACUUGCCUCUUUGACUGUUUUAGUAUUUAAGAGGAUCGAGAUAUUUUCUUUCUUUUUGCUUUGGAAAUAUCUUUAAAAAACAAAGCUAAAAUAAGCAUGUAGAAGCUCUUAUUUAGCUAAUUUUCGGACCUGGGUUCGAUUCCCAGCGCCUCCACA